CAAAGGGCAGCAAACUCGCGAGAGCUAGCAAAUCCCAUAAACCGUGGCUCAGUUCAGAUCGUAGGCUGCAACUCGCCUACGUGAAGGAGGAAUCGCUAGUAAUCGCAGGUCAGCAUACUGCGGUGAAUACGUUCCCGGGCCUUGUACACACCGCCCGUCACACCAUGGAAGUUGGCCACGCCCGAAGCCGUUACUCCAACCCUUGUGGAGGAGGACGUCGAAGGUGGGGCUGAUGACUGGGGUGAAGUCGUAACAAGGUAGCCGUACCGGAAGGUGCGGCUGGAUCACCUCCUAA
rnacentral:rRNA from 1 species